UUCCUUCUACCCCCUCUCCAGGUCUACCAAAAGUUGUUCUUCUAAGGAAGUGGUCUGGCUCUUUAGUUGGCGUAUCUUUUCUUCAGAAUCUUCAUUAAGGGAAUUGUAUUUAGUUUCCCAGCUACAGACAGAUUCGAUGAGCUCAUUAUUUUGGUGAACUGUGGUCUCAUAAGUUUGGUGAAGUUGGGCUAGUUCUUGAUUUUUGGAAGUUAAGGUUUUUUCUAGUUUAACCCGUUUAGCAUUACUUCCACUACAAUAUUGGCAGAGGGCUCAGCCAAUGAUUCUAUAUUAUUCCACCAUAACUUGGUAAGUAUCCACUAACUCUGGAAAAGUUAGUUUGUGGGCUCCAAAAGAAGGGAAGGUGCAGUUCUUCAACGCUUGAGGCAGACUCCUCUCCCAUCCUUGGUUGAUUUGAAGGGGAGAGAAAGGGGCCUGGCCUAUGUUGGCGUGGCUUCUCUACGGAAAUAAGGUAGAUACAGCACCAGAAAAAGAAGGAAUUGGAAUUGGACCAAGUGGAGAAGACAAC
rnacentral:lncRNA from 1 species